AGUCACUGACAUUAGAUACCCGUGUAGUCCAGGGUGUAAACGCUGCGGGCUUGGUGUUGGGGGCCUUUGAGGGCGCCCAGUGCCGGAGAGAAGUUGUUAAGCCUGCUGCUUGGGGAGUACGUCCGCAAGGAUGAAACUUAAAGGAAUUGGCGGGGGAGCACCGCAACGGGAGGAGCGUGCGGUUCAAUUGGAUUCAACGCCGGACAACUCACCAGGAGCGACGGUUACAUGAAGGCCAGGCUGAUGACCUUGCCUGAUUUUCCG
rnacentral:rRNA from 1 species